ensembl:lncRNA
GUAAUUGGAAUAUUACAGGCAUGAUACCAAGUACUUUAUAUACACUACUUCAUAAUCUAAAAAGCAGUUAUUAUCACUAUUUUGCAGAUCCAGAAAUGGAGGCACAGAGUUUGUUACCCUGAUCACCUAGCUAAAGGUGCAAGAGGAGGGGUUGAAGUCAGGUCUCCUGAAUCCAAAUCUUGGCGAUGUUUAAGCUAAGGUGUACUACAUUUUGCGAGCUAGCUGAUAUCAAAGGAGGAAAUAAGAUACUUCAAUGGGUAAAAGAUCUGGUGCAGGCAGAGACUCUCCCAGAAUGCUCGUGUCAACUUUCUGCCAGUUCAUUUCAGCCAACUGUGAUGAAUAGCAAAGAAGAUUGGCGGGAGUAAGUGGAGUAGAGCAAAUGCCCUCACCCCUGUGGAAUCUGAUCACACUGGCCUUGGUUUCUGGUUCUUGGGUCCAACUGUGGUGUCUUUUGGACAGAGGAUGUAUCCUUUGGCAGUUGCACUUUCCUCAUCGGUCAAACAGAUCCACAGUCCCCCCAGGCCUGUGCUCAGUUUGAAACUAGACAAUGCAGUGAAGAGUUGCGCCCAGUGGCUGGCAUGUAGAAAGUACAAGCAUCACUGUGGUGACCGUGGCUGAGCCAAGGCCACAGAAAUGGUACCUGCGUGGCAUCAGGCAGAACUUCUGUACCAGCCUUAGAUGAUGAAACGAGCUGGAAAUGACAUCAGGUCUUUGCAUGGAGUGGUUCACCGUCUCUAACAACAGUAUCCGCAGGCCAGAAGCAUGUUUGGAAAUAGAACCCGGGAGCCCCGACAUGAGUGAUUGACUUGAGUCGCCCUUCGGAGCUCACGCACACGUCCUACCUUCUUCAGAAUUCACACAAUGCCAAGAUCGCAUCACACCUCGAGAAGAGAGUAGCCAAACCUGAGGCAGCUGGCAUCCUGGGGCGCUUUGCUCACUAACCUUAAAAACAAACGCAUCGCACUGACAGCAGCCCACCAGCCUGCUUCGGGCAGGGCAGAGCCUGGAACCCAAGAGCCCUCCUAGUCUGCUGAUGAGAGUGACAGCAGCAGAGAUCAAAGUUUAACGCACUGACUGUCUCUGGUUUUGAGUGCCCAGCGGGGCUGAAGGGGCUGCCUCCUCCUCGGGGCCCAGAGAGGGUGGUUGGGUGGACCUGAAGGAGGAAGGCAGCUCAGCUGAUACAAAGCCAACCCCACUGCAGGCUCAGUCGGGGCUCUGGGUGCCCUGGGCCUUCUCUGCAACCUGGCUGGAGGGCCUGGUUCAGUUAUUUUCAGACUUCCCAGAUCCAUGGAGUUUCAGCAGGCAUGAAGAACAGAACACAGGGAACCAGCUGGAAUAAGCCCUCAGAAUAGAACUGCUUGCAGAAAGACCAAAAUAAUAAAUAUCUGGACACAUUAUCCUGUUUCUAGAUUGGCUUCAAAUGCAUUGUGUUACCAGACCUGCCAUUAUUAUGGGAAAGUGGACCAUGAAACAGCUGGGUGUAGGAGGUGCUCACCCCCUCUCCCUUCAUGAUAUUUUACAAGAGUGAUUAUUUUGAUGACAGUAAUGAAAGCAGCUCAUGUUGAUUGAGUCCUUCCUAUGUGCCAGGCAGAUUACUAGACACUUGACAUUCAUUAGUGGAAUGCUCCCCACAGCUCUCUGAAGUAGAGUACUAGUAUCCCCAUUUUACAGAGCGGGAAAUGGAGGCUCUAAGUACAAGACCCAAGAGGUAAUUUUCUUAGACCAGUGUGGUGCCAGCCAUCAAGGAGCCUGCAGUCCAGUGAUGGGUCAUUAGGUUUGAAGAGUGGAUGAAUGAAUUGAUCAGCAGCUGU